ensembl:lncRNA
CCUGGCUUCCGGCCCAAGAGCCCUCCCAGAAAGAUACCUGUAAUACCGCCCGUAAUGAUGGGCUUACACAUUAAAGGCCAAUUGGCAAAAAAGAGGGACUUAGAUCGGGGGAACACCAGAAGUUAGCCGAGUACCAGUCGUUUUAACGAGUGUAGUUUAUAUUCAGAGAAAUUCUGGCAAAUAUAGCCCUUUCUAACAUGACAAACAGCGAAGAACAGGAAGGCCAGAAUGCAUAAAGGGGGGUGGGGUGUGUGCGCGCUAACAUUUCUGACCAAACCUCGAUAUUUGCGCCCUCUGCUCUGAUGUCCCUCAUUGACCACGAGGGUGCUCCUGCUUUAGCCAGUGGCUCUGCGAGCUGUAUUUUAUAAACAGGGGAUCCCAGGCACCCAAAUAACCAGGUCGACGCCCCCAUCCGGACCAGAGGGGCAGUUUCCGGUUGUGUCCUGACCGCUGGCCCUCGUCGCGCCUGGAGGUGACCGCUGUACACCGUCAAGACCCACGGUCACUCGUCCAGAGGAAGAAAAGAAGCAAUCUCAGCAGAUGCAGGGCCCGGCGCGCCGGUGGUGGAGUUUCCAAAAGCCCUACAGGUGAUGCCACCCCGACGCCCCGCGACGCUGGCCCUGGGUAGUCUCGACCCUCUCCGGCUCCGCAGCUUCCCCCGACCCCGCGGGACGGCCGGGGCUUCGGCGGCGAGACUUGGGAAAGUGUCCCCUGCUCUGCGCACCUCCCUCGCUGCGCGGACCGCGCGCUGGAUGCCAGAGCCACGGUGAGUCCGGAAGGCGACGGAGCAGACCACUUGCUCCAGCAACCCCCCCCGCGGCGCCGCCGCCUGUCUUUCGCGCCUCUUUGGGACCCGAGGCCCCCUAAUCGCGGGGAAGCCUGAGCCCCCCUGGCCCUCCCGCCCCGAGUCCACACCCCUCCAAGGAGCAUCCUCUCCGACCCGGCUCUGUGGCAGGUGGUACAGUCAGGGCGGGCUCAGUGACCUCGUCUGCAGCCCCUUUCCUGACCACGGGGCCGGCUGCUACCUCGCCCUCCUUUCCCAAGUUGCUCCACUCCCCUCCACCCCCAAACUCCAGACCCCCUCCGUCGCGCCGGCAGCAGUCUUACCUCACCAUGCAACACUUGGUUGCGCGGUUGCCCGGGGCGCUCCUUCCUCACAGUUUAUUCCCUUACUUGGGAGGAAAGAGGAACCGAGAGACGGAAAGGGGACCGAAGCUGGCGUAAGGGCGUCUUCCCGCCCGCGCAGCCCUCUCGGGGGAGGGGGAGGAGGCGGGGGAGGGGAGCCCCGGGGCGCGCAGCGGAGAUCGGGCGACCCGCCUGCGGGCAGGCAGCUCCCGGGUCCUCGGCCUCCGCCCGGGGAUCUGCGGUUCCCCAGCGGUUCGUCUCGGCCGCCCGCUACUACGGCACUGGCACUGCGGCUCUGCACCCUGUCCCUCGCAGCCUGGCAAGUCCAGCUGCCACUCUCACUGCGGAGGCCUGCCCCCGGGCGCAGAGCCCGCCCCCGCCACACACACACACGCGCGCGCGCGCGCACACACACGCGCCACACGCAGACACGCGCGCCCACACACCAAUGCGGUUCCGUUCAGUGGGAACCCGUGUCCCUCUGGUGCAACUUGGGCGCGGACAUCACGACGGCGCUUCUUGCUGGCAGCACUUUGGUUUCGGAGGAGGAGGAGGAGGAGGAGUCAGGAGUUUGGGGGCGCAGAAAGGACGCAGCAGUGCUGGGCGCCAGAGGCCAGCUCACCCGGAGCUGGAGGACACGUUUGACAAAAUACACGAGAAAUCCCCCCGGGCAUUUCCUUUUCUCAGCCUAGAAACCUCGGGGUCUAGGUUAGCUUAAAUAUCCCAAUCAAAUCAGAGAAAAAUUAUAAAUAAAAGAUGAACAAGUUCUGUUUGCCAGGAACUCAGUGCCUCUAGCAUCCAAAUCAUCAGCCCUGUGUGUGUGUGUGUGUGUGUGUGUGUGUGUGUGUGUGGUGGUUCUGACAACCCUGGUCGGGUGGCCGUGGACUGGUGGCUGGUCAGCCUGAACAGGUUUUCUCCUCUGCAGACCCGUAUGGUGGGGACUCUGGCAGCCCUGCAGAGCUGGGCUCCAAAGAAUGGGUCAAAUCUCAGGGCCGACCUCCUAAACUCCCCACUUUACUUUCAAAG